CGGGCGGAGCCGCCCCUGGCGAGCGCCACGCCCCAGAAAGGCCAGCGGCGCCAAGGCCACAAACCCCGAAGAUUUGGCGGAAAGGUGCAGACACCUAGGACGCGAGUACCGCGCGCAGCGGGCCACACGGCCACUGGAGGUGGGUGUCUUCACGGGCUGUGGUGCAGGACACUCACCGUGGAGCCACGGCUGGGAUCCGUGGGGCUUCAGGAAGGCCAGUGAGGGAGGGGGCCGCCUCCCAGCUCCCCCUCCCCUGCGCGGAGGAUCGCCUCUACUGUUGCUUGCCGGUGGGUCGUGAGGUUUCAGGGAGCUCCGGGGGUGUGGCUGGGCAGAAAAAGAACAAUUCGGGGUGCUCUUCGCGGCGGGACGACCUGACUCUGCCGGCAGGGGUCCGUGUCGUGUGAGUGUGAACACAGGGAAGCGGUCUCGGCGGGUUUGCGGGGGUCGUAGGGAGACACCCGCCCGUCUCCGUUCUCGCGGUCGCUCUCACCUGCUCCAUUGGGCCAGAAGAAGGACCCUCGCCCCCCCACUGCUGGGCCUCUGGGCUCUGCCUUUGCUGCCCGGCUGUUGUAUAGAACUCGUUCCGAAGGCCCACCCGUGAGCAGGGUCCCAGCUGUUUCCUCGGGCUGUGUCAUCAGACGUUUCCGGAAUCGCUGGAGUGAAGGAUGUGUGCAUUUCUUGCGUGUGCUUGUGAGCCUUCCGGCACGUUCUGAGAAGCGACUCUUCUGGCCCCAUUCUGAGGAUGGAACGUGGGCGGUGGCUUCAGAGUCAGUGACCCGGGCACGUGUCCCCGCAUGGCCACGUCCCGCCUCGAGAUCCUGGCCAGUCUCAUGGCCCCAAGCCGUGGCAUUCUCACGGAUUCUCCUGGAUGCGAUUCGAAGCCACAGGUCCUGCCUCCACGGCUGCCCUCCACCCACACGGCCCCCACUUUGCAGCCACGCAGGAGGACACACGCUCAGUGACAGGCUCAGUAGACAGGCUCCCGUUCGCCCUGACUCGCCCUCCUCCCGCGCAUCUCUCCCGUUUGGGCCUGGAUGUCCAGACCGGCCUCCGGAGAGAAGGCUCACGGCGAGCUCCGUGCUGGUUCAAAGAUUUCACCAAAAACCCCACCGUUCGUGUGUCCGUGUCCACGGAGUUGGAUGUGGUGCGUGGCAGAACCCGGGGCUGGGAGUCCAGAAGCUUCUGUCCCUGCUCACCGUCUCACGGCCUGAGGUCUUGGGCAGCUCGCCCCCUGCUUCCACGCCUCAGUUUCCCCUUCUGAAAUCUCACGUCUUUGUAAUUCCCUGUAAUCCUGGAGACCCUGAGAAAGGCGCUCCAGGAGGACGGAGACAGAGGUGAUGAGACCCAGACGGCCGGUGGGACGUCCCCUCCCCUGACCUCCGGCAAAGACCACCCCU
rnacentral:lncRNA from 1 species